rnacentral:rRNA from 1 species
GAUGAACGCUGGCGGCGUGCCUAAUACAUGCAAGUCGAGCGAACGGACGAGAAGCUUGCUUCUCUGAUGUUAGCGGCGGACGGGUGAGUAACACGUGGAUAACCUACCUAUAAGACUGGGAUAACUUCGGGAAACCGGAGCUAAUACCGGAUAAUAUUUUGAACCGCAUGGUUCAAAAGUGAAAGACGGUCUUGCUGUCACUUCUAGAUGGAUCUGCGCUGCAUUAGCUAGUUGGUAAGGUAACGGCUUACCAAGGCAACGAUGCAUAGCCGACCUGAGAGGGUGAUCGGCCACACUGGAACUGAGACACGGUCCAGACUCCUACGGGAGGCAGCAGUAGGGAAUCUGCCGCAAUGGGCGAAAGCCUGACGGAGCGGCGCCGCGUGAGUGAUGGAGGUCUUCGGAUCGUAAAACUCUGUUAUUAGGGAAGAACAUAUGUGUAAGUAACUGUACACAUCUUGACGGUACCUAAUCAGAAAGCCACGGCUAACUACGUG